AAAUAAAUAAUAAAGAAAUUGAGAUUGCGGUUGAAUCUCUCGAGGCGAUUAUCCAAUUAAAGCACUUUAAGAUUGGAAAAAUUAAUCCACCAAAGGUUGUGAAAAAGAAGAAAAGUUGAACUCGUCAACCAAGAACCAAAAAAUUCAAAACUUCCCUAAACUAAGCCUUCCCUUGAGAAAUUAUUAAGCAAUAAGCAACUAAUUGAGGUCACAAUCUCAUAAGGAAACAUUGAAGAAAUCCUUGGCGGUGAAAAAAAGAGAAAGAAAAAUGUGGUUAUGGAAGAAGUAUGCCUAAAAGAUUAUGAGGUGGUGUUGGAUAACCAGCACCACCAGCUCCAAAGAAGAUGCUAAGUUGGAAUUGUAGAGGAUUGGGGAAUCUUCGGGCAAUUUGAGCCUUGUUAAGGCACACCAUCUUGAAAAUUCC
rnacentral:lncRNA from 1 species